rnacentral:rRNA from 1 species
UGACGGGGCCCGCACAAGCGGAGGAACAUGUGGUUUAAUUCGAUGAUACGCGAGGAACCUUACCUGGGCUAGAACGCAUUCGGAAUCAGGCCGAAAGGCCUGCGCCAGCGAUGGCCGCUUGCGAGGUGCUGCAUGGUUGUCGUCAGCUCGUGCCGUGAGGUGUCGGGUUAAGUCCCAUAACGAGCGCAACCCCUACUGCUAGUUGCCAGCGGGUCAUGCCGGGGACUCUAGCGGAACUGCCAGCGUAAGCUGCGAGGAAGGUGGGAUGACGUCAAAUCAGCACGGCCCUUACGUCCAGGGCUACACACGUGUUACAAUGGCCGGUACAGAGGGCAGCCACCCCGCGAGGGGGCGCGAAUCCCGAAAGCCGGUCCCAGUUCGGAUCGGAGUCUGCAACCCGACUCCGUGAAGCUGGAUUCGCUAGUAAUCGCGCAUCAGCCACGGCGCGGUGAAUACGUUCCCGGGCCUU